AACAAAUUGGAUUAUGCACGAAUACAGGCUCAGUGAACCUACAACGAAAACUGGAAGUUCAAGGCUCGACGAUUGGGUUCUAUGUAGGAUUUACAAGAAGAAUUCAGGUGGACAAAAAUCGAGUUGCUCUGAUUUACAGAACAAGGAUAUAAGUCAUGCUUCAUCAUCGUCAUCGUCAUCUCAGUUUGAUGAUAUGCUGGAAUCUCUACCGGCAAUUGAAGAUCGUUAUUUCUCAUUGCCGAGGGUGAAUUCUAUAAGGAAUUUUCAACAAAAUGACAAGAUCAAUCUUCAACAAUUGAGCUCUGGGAACUUCGAUUGGGCUGCUAUGGCGGGAUUAAACUCAUUCCCGGAAUUACGUACCGGAAAUCAAGUUCCAACGCCGGGAAAUCAAACUCCGGUGCUGAUAAACACCAAUCAGUAUCACAAUCACAACGACAAUUUGAAUAAUUUCAACGAAUUUUUCGCCAAUUCAACGGCGUUAAAUUUUCACGGUGAAGUUAAGUUUGAAGGAGGAGUUGAUCAAGAAGUAGAAAGCAGUGUUAGAGCUCAACGACUUAACAGCGUUAACCCGGGUUUCUUCCAAGAGAACUCAACCGGGUUUUCAAGUUCUUAUACAAACUCGGUACCCGACCCAUUUGGGAUUCGGUACCCGACCCAAACAGUAAAUAUGGGUUUUACUGGGUAAAUAGUGGAAGGGUAAAAUGUGAAUGCUCAUAAAUUAACUUGAAGACAAAUUUGGAAAAAUUGUCAUGGUUAUUGAGGUUGAAAGGGCAUUUUAUUCUUUGGUUGGGGAUUAAAAUAGCAAA
rnacentral:misc_RNA from 1 species